GUGGGCAACCUGCCUCAUACAGGGGGAUAACAGUUAGAAAUGACUGCUAAUACCGCAUAAGACCACAGUGUCGCAUGGCACAGGGGUCAAAGGAUUUAUCCGCUGAAAGAUGGGCUCGCGUCCGAUUAGCUAGAUGGUGAGGUAACGGCCCACCAUGGCGACGAUCGGUAGCCGGACUGAGAGGUUGAACGGCCACAUUGGGACUGAGACACGGCCCAGACUCCUACGGGAGGCAGCAUG
rnacentral:rRNA from 1 species